CUGUCUGUCUGACACCUGUCUGUCUCACCUGCAUAAUACCUGUCCAUCUCACCUGUCAAUCUCAUCUGUCUGUCGAGAGGCGUCUGCCUGCAAACCUCCACAAUGAGGUCGCUUCUGGUGCAGGCUCUGCUCUCAGGAAACCUCCACUGUCAGGACAGGAAAUAACAAGGGAAUGAUUUACGGCGCAGUCAACAUUCCUUUCAGCGGUCAGAGUGAAGCCCAGGACAGAGCACGACUGCAGAAAGGCUUAGUGCAGUAACCCUAACCAACAUGUGGAUCUGCCUGAUGCGCUGGUGAUCAGUGGCAGAGACUGCACAGCUUUUGGGAAAUCUAUUGGUGGAAGGAACCAGUGAUGCAGGACUCGCAUAGUAACAUGUUCUGAAAAUGUUUUGUUUCCCUUGAAAAUUAUUUCACAUGUUUCUCAACUAAAGGAAAUCUGUUCAAAGCUCCAACAAUUGAACAAAUCGACAUGGGAAAUUAUUGUGAUUGUUUUGAAUAAAGUGCAACACAGUUGCAGUUUUUA